rnacentral:rRNA from 1 species
UACGUAGGGUGCGAGCGUUAAUCGGAAUUACUGGGCGUAAAGCGUGCGCAGGCGGUUCUGCAAGUCAGAUGUGAAAGCCCCGGGCUCAACCUGGGAAUUGCAUUUGAAACUACAGGGCUAGAGUGUGUCAGAGGGGGGUAGAAUUCCAGGUGUAGCGGUGAAAUGCGUAGAGAUCUGGAGGAAUACCGGUGGCGAAGGCGGCCCCCUGGACAAAGACUGACGCUCAGGUGCGAAAGCGUGGGGAGCAAACAGG